rnacentral:rRNA from 1 species
AUGAACGCUAGCGGGAGGCCUGACACAUGCAAGCCGAGCGGUAUAAUUCUUUCGGGAAUUAGAGAGCGGCGCACGGGUGCGGAACACGUGUGCAACCUGCCUUUAUCUGGGGGAUAGCCUUCCGAAAGGGAGAUUAAUACCCCAUAUUAUAUUGACUGGCAUCAGUUAAUAUUGAAAACUCCGGUGGAUAGAGAUGGGCACGCGCAAGAUUAGAUAGUUGGUGAGGUAACGGCUCACCAAGUCAGUGAUCUUUAGGGGGCCUGAGAGGGUGAGCCCCCACGCUGGUACUGAGACACGGACCAGACUCCUGCGGGAGGCAGCAGUGAGGAAUAUUGGACAAUGGGUGAGAGCCUGAUCCAGCCAUCCCGCGUGAAGGACGACGGCCCUAUGGGUUGUAAACUUCUUUUGUACAGGGAUAAACCUAGAUACGUGUAUCUAGCUGAAGGUACUGUACGAAUAAGCACCGGCUAACUCCGUGCCAGCAGCCGCGGUAA